AAGCUUCCAUUGCCAUUUACCGGGCCCAGGAAGUGAACUACUUAAGAGGCUGUUGCUCAAUUUUACCAGUUGCGGCUAUUUUGACAGCGCAGGAGAAAUACCAAAGCCGAAUGAUGAGUCGGAGAAAUUAGAAAUUGAACAAGUAGAGCUUAGUUGAUUGGGGUUGUAACAGGGAUUGCAACUCAGAAGCAACGGCUGCUGGACCAAACCAAGAAGCGAUGCAUGACGACUGUACUCGUCAAGUGAAAAAGUUGGCCGAUUACAAGGAGUCAAUAAACGAAACCAGAAACGAAAAUAUGGUCUUAAGAAAAGAAAGAAAAUGCGUCUUGGAUGACUUGCGUUUUAUCCAGAUAAGGGCGGCGGCGAAGGAGGACAAUACAACUUGGGUUUGGUCGGUUUGAUCUUGAUUGUGUUGGUGGCUAUGACUUGUCACUGAAUAGCAUAGUGCAUUCCUUCCUCCUAAUCUGGUGAUCCCGAUCCGUAGGAAACUACUUAUUAGUGUAUUGAUCAUGAACUUGGAGGAACAUCAAGUGUUCGAGAUUUAAGGUCAAAGAAAGCUAUUCGGAAAAUAUGUGCGCCUUAAUCUCCGGUGAUCUUUUCCUACCUACCACAGAAGAAAGAGACGUACAUAUUGGCUGCUCUUCUUGGCAGGCACCUUUUGCUGGAGCUUCUUUUUCUGUAUUAUCAGCAUAUCUCGAAAGCCCGGCAACUGGGAUUGUGUCACAUUCCUGAUUUUCUUUCUCUUGAUGUAGUCAUAAUUAC